GACGAACGCUGGCGGCGUGCUUAACACAUGCAAGUCGAACGAUGAAGCUGGAGCUUGCUCUGGCGGAUUAGUGGCGAACGGGUGAGUAACACGUGAGAAAUCUGCCCUUGACUCUGGGAUAACUGCGGGAAACUGUAGCUAAUACCGGAUACUUUCCCUGGUGGGCAUCACUGGGGAAGAAAGAAUUUCGGUCAAGGAUGAUCUCGCGGCUUAUCGGCUUGUUGGUGAGAUAAUGGCUCACCAAGGCGACGACGGGUAGCCGGCCUGAGAGGGUGACCGGCCACACUGGGACUGAGACACGGCCCAGACUCCUACGGGAGGCAGCAGUGGGGAAUAUUGCACAAUGGGCGCAAGCCUGAUGCAGCAACGCCGCGUGAGGGAUGAAGGCCUUCGGGUUGUAAACCUCUUUUAGCAGGGAAGAAGCGAAAGUGACGGUACCUGCAGAAAAAGCACCGGCUAACUACGUGCCAGCCGCCGCCGUAA
rnacentral:rRNA from 1 species